rnacentral:rRNA from 2 species
UACGGAGGGUGCAAACGUUGCUCGGAAUCAUUGGGCGUAAAGCGCACGUAGGCGGUCUCUUAAGUCGGGUGUGAAAGCCUCGGGCUUAACCCGAGAAGUGCAUUCGAAACUGAGAGGCUGGAGUACGGAAGGGGGUCUCGGAAUUCCCGGUGUAGAGGUGAAAUUCGUAGAUAUCGGGAGGAACACCAGUGGCGAAGGCGGAGACCUGGGCCGAUACUGACGCUGAGGUGCGAAAGCGUGGGGAGCAAACAGG